rnacentral:tRNA from 1 species
GCCUGGGUGGCUCAGUCAGUUGAGCGUCCGACUUCGGCUCAGGUCAUGAUCUCACAGUCCGUGAGUUCGAGCCCCACGUCAGGCU